UCGGUGACGCCCGCCCCGUGGCGCGGCUCCCGCCCUCAGCAGUGCGGUGCUGAGAAGAGGGGCCUGCGGUGCGGGAGGACCCGGCCCCUGGAGCCUCACGGAGCACAGCAGCAGCAGCAGCAGCAGCAGGCUAACCACCCGGAGCCGUCGUCCGAGUGACCGCUCGCGGUUCCCCUGCGCGCCCCACACCCGGACUCAGAGGCCCCGAGGCCCAGCGCAGGGCCGGCUGCUGCCUCCGGGAAGAGGACUGACUGCCAGGCGGGAGGAAAAGCAGACUCAUUUGCUUCGAUCCCAAGGAGAGAAUGAAGGCCAGAAAAGAGAGCUAAAAAAGAAGUAUAACUGGAAACAACCAAAAAGAAGAAAAACAAGACAGAAACCUUCCCUGUGAGUUCAGAGGCUGCUCUAACGCCCUAUGCUGUCUGUCCCCAGGUCCUGAGGCUCUGGAAGCUCAGGUUGCCCCCAGAAUGGACAAGAUGGCUGAGCUAAAAUGUUCCCUCAACAAAACAUUUAAGUUGGGGGCUUCCCUGGUGGCGCAGUGGUUAAGAAUCCGCCUGCCAGUGCAGGGGACACGGGUUGAAGCCCUGGUCCGGGAAGAUCCCACGUGCCGCAGAGCAACUAAGCCCGUGCACCACAACUACUGAGCCUGUGCUCUAGAGCCCGCGAGCCACAACUACUGAAGCCCACGUGCCACAACUACUGAAGCCCACAUGCCUAGAGCCCACUCUCUGCAACAAGAGAAGCCACCGCAAUGAGAAGCCCGCGCACCGCAAUGAAGAGUAGCCCCCGCUCACCACAACUAAAGAAAGCCCACGUGCAGCAACGAAGACCCAAUGCAGCCAAAAUUUUAUAGAUGGAGAAACUGAGGCCCAAGGACUCAGCUGACAAGUGGGAGAACCAGCUGCAAACCUGGGCUGCCUGACUGCACCAGUCAGCUCUCUGCCAGCUCGCAGCACAGGUGAACACAGUGCACCCGCAGUGAGCCGGGCAGGUAUAAACAUGACGCACCUGCGUUGAGCAGCAUUUUGACGCAGUCCAGAUGCUCCCGGGCACAGGCCACGUGCAGAGGGGUCCCAAAGUGGCAGUCGUGCGCUUCCAGGUUGGCCCCAACGUCAAUAAGAAGCCUCACACACUCAGAACUUCCUUAAAAGAAAUGGAGACGGAGGAAAGGCAUCGUAUCACAUAUAUUUGAAAUAACAGGCUUGGCAGACACGCGGCUGCUGGAGCAGCAUCUGCUCAAAAACCUUCAGAGCCGUCUGUAGCAAUUCCCAGUGCCUGUGGGCGACCAAGGUGACCUAACUGUGGGAUUCGGGGUGAGGGCAGCAAAGACUGGCCCUGUGUGCAGCCGUGGAAGAGCCCACACCCAGCACCCUAACAAAUGCAGCGAAGACGAACACCGCGCCGACCAAAGCACAAGACACAAGUGUGCAAACCUUGCUCAAAACAGUCGAACCCAAAAUCCCUGGUCUGUCAUCUGAAACACUGCCCACCAGCUGGCCUCGCCCCAAAUUUCCAGUUCUGCCUGUUGUAGCUCCUCUGCUGGGUGCGUCUGACCCAGCAAGGCUGGAGCAGCCUUAUCCUCCCACCGUCUGAAAUCCACCUGUUCUCAGAGGGCAGGUGAAAACCCACCUGCUCCCUGAGCCUCGAGGACCAGCUCUCGGCUCCUCUGAGAGUGCCUGCCUGGGGGUACGUCUGGGCCUCAUCUCCCCACAAGAUCAGGGGCCUGCAGGGCAGAACGAGUGAGCGGCUGCCGAGGGCACCCAUUUCCAGGGUUAGCAUCUGAAAGGCACCGAAUCAGCUAGAAAUAGAACCCUACCUUCAGCCCCCAGCCCUGGGUGAGGACUGUAUCUCCAGGAGGAAAAGCGUCAGAUUCCACGGCUGACGGACCAAGAGCCAGACCCAGCCUGGGAGCCCCGCUUCACCAGCAGAUGGCUUCCCCUCCUGGCUAUCACCGCUACCCGACUCACCACUCAUGCAGGCCUCGUGCAGCGGGGAUGCCGUGUACAGGGGCGGGUUGACCUUGGCCCCGUGGGAGAGCAGGAGCUUCACGCACUCGAUGCUGCCCGAGGCACAGGCGUCACAGAGCGGGGUGCUGCCAUCGAUGUUGCGGGCGUCCACCUUGAGGGGGAGGAAACGAGCAUCAGAGGGCAGAGGGCAAGGUACAGGCCACUCGCCUUCUCAUCCUGAUGCACGUUCAUCUUUGAGACACCACGUAGUUUUUCGAAGUUCUUAGGUUUUCUAUUACGUGCCGAGGUGCUGUGCCAGGCAAGGGGGUUCAGAGACAGAAAGUAGGGCAUGUCUACUGGCCGCCUAAGUACAGCGGGUGUGCAACUGGGGGCUUUUUUUUAGCUCAGCCUCACUCCGGCCACCACCCCAACACCUAAUAAGCACAGGCAGGGUAUGAAAAUGGGCUUUAACUCCAGCCUCAGCUAGGAGGAGUGCCUGAAACUGUUUAACAUGCCUCCUCUAGUUGGAAAAUCAUAAGGCAGGAAAAGGCAACUCCCCAAACUGGCAGAUUCUGCUUAGAAUUUGUCCAAAUUCAGCUGUUUACUUGGGUUCAUGCUGAAGCUGGUUCCAUUUCCUGUGAAACCGCCUUCAUAGCCAAGUUCUGGGAAGAGUGAGCAGAGCACAGCCUUCCCUUCUUCCUCACCCCCCACCGCUGUCCCACGGCAGCUCCUACCAGCUCACCCAGCCAACUGGUAAAUACCCAGCAAUUCCACCAGCUGGUUACCAGAUACCAUAUGCUGGGGGCUCCACAUGGGCUGUGGUGUGAGUACAUAUACUAGGGGAAAGCAGCGAAUGUUCUUGUUCGUUUUACCUGUCCUUCCAGAGCUAGUUUGCCAGCAUCCCACUUAGUCAUCCUGCUCUCUGAGCCCAAAAGACUCCUGCCGCCAAGGCCCCGCCAGCCCGGUAGGCAGCCCGCCUCUGUGUCCACAGCCUGCCUGCCCACGUGCAGAGCAGAGCAUGCCAUCGCUUUGCUAACCCGGCCUUCUCUUCCACCACCAGUGACCUCCCGACAGCCAGGUCCACGAGCACGCUCACUGGUCCUCCGGGUGUGGUUGCCAUGGAGACCAGCCCUCCCUCCUCCUUUGGCCCCUGCUACAGCCCACUCUGGUUUCCCCCUUCCUCUCCUUCUCAGCCUCCUGCGGUGGUUUCCUUUCUUCCCAUGUGUUGCAUAACACAGAACGCUCUUCCCAA